ACGCUGGCGGCGUGCCUAUACAUGCAGUCGAACGCUUCUUUUUCCACCGGAGCUUGCUCCACCGGAAAAAGAGGAGUGGCGAACGGGUGAGUAACACGUGGGUAACCUGCCCAUCAGAAGGGGAUAACACUUGGAAACAGGUGCUAAUACCGUAUAACAAUCGAAACCGCAUGGUUUUGAUUUGAAAGGCGCUUUCGGGUGUCGCUGAUGGAUGGACCCGCGGUGCAUUAGCUAGUUGGUGAGGUAACGGCUCACCAAGGCCACGAUGCAUAGCCGACCUGAGAGGGUGAUCGGCCACAUUGGGACUGAGACACGGCCCAAACUCCUACGGGAGGCAGCAGUAGGGAAUCUUCGGCAAUGGACGAAAGUCUGACCGAGCAACGCCGCGUGAGUGAAGAAGGUUUUCGGAUCGUAAAACUCUGUUGUUAGAGAAAACAAGGAUGAAGUAACUGUUCAUCCCUUGACGGUAUCUACCAAAAGCCAGGUAAUACUGCCCCCCGCGGAAUACCAGUGGAAGUUGUCCGGAUUUAUUGGGCAAACCACCCGGCGGUUCUUAAAGACCUGAGCUGAAGCGUGGGAGCAACAGGAUAGAACCGGUAGUCCACCCGUAAACGAGAGUGUAAGUGUGGAGGGUUUCCGCCUUCAGUGUGCAGGUAACGCAUUAAGCACUCCGCUGGGGAGUACGACCGCAAGGUUGAAAUUCAAAGGAAUUGACGGGGGCCCGCACAAGCCUUGGAGCAUGUGGUUUAAUUCGAAGCAACGCGAAGAACCUUACCAGGUCUUGACAUCCUUUGACCACUCUAGAGAUAGAGCUUCCCCUUCGGGGGCAAAGUGACAGGUGGUGCAUGGUUGUCGUCAGCUCGUGUCGUGAGAUGUUGGGUUAAGUCCCGCAACGAGCGCAACCCUUAUUGUUAGUUGCCAUCAUUCAGUUGGGCAUUUUAGCAAGACUGCCGGUGACAAACCGGAGGAAGGUGGGGAUGACGUCAAAUCAUCAUGCCCCUUAUGACCUGGGUUACACACGUGUUCCAAUGGGAAGUACAACGAGUUGGGAAGUCGCGAGGUUAAGUUAAUUUCUUAAAGCUUUUUUCAGUUCGGAUUGCAGGCUGCAAUUCGCCUGCAGGAAGCCGGAAUCGUUAGUAAUCGCGGAUCAGCACGCCGCGGGGAAUACGUUCCCGGGCCUUGUACACACCGCCCGUCACACCACGAGAGUUGUAACACCCGAAGUCGGGGAGGUAACCUUUGAGCCAG
rnacentral:rRNA from 1 species